rnacentral:rRNA from 1 species
GACACGGUCCAAACUCCUACGGGAGGCAGCAGUGAGGAAUAUUGGUCAAUGGUCGGCAGACUGAACCAGCCAAGUCGCGUGAGGGAAGACGGCCCUACGGGUUGUAAACCUCUUUUGUCGGAGAGUAAAGUACGCUACGUGUAGCGUAUUGCAAGUAUCCGAAGAAAAAGCAUCGGCUAACUCCGUGCCAGCAGCCGCGGUAAUACGGAGGAUGCAAGCGUUAUCCGGAUUUAUUGGGUUUAAAGGGUGCGUAGGCGGCACGCCAAGUCAGCGGUGAAAUUUCCGGGCUCAACCCGGACUGUGCCGUUGAAACUGGCGAGCUAGAGUGCACAAGAGGCAGGCGGAAUGCGUGGUGUAGCGGUGAAAUGCAUAGAUAUCACGCAGAACCCCGAUUGCGAAGGCAGCCUGCUAGGGUGCGACAGACGCUGAGGCACGAAAGCGUGGGUAUCGAACAGGAUUAGAUACCCUGGUAGUCCACGCAGUAAACGAUGAAUACUAACUGUUUGCGAUACAAUGUAAGCGGUACAGCGAAAGCGUUAAGUAUUCCACCUGGGGAGUACGCCGGCAACGGUGAAACUCAAAGGAAUUGACGGGGGCCCGCACAAGCGGAGGAACAUGUGGUUUAAUUCGAUGAUACGCGAGGAACCUUACCCGGGCUUAAAUUGCAGAUGAAUUACGGUGAAAGCCGUAAGCCGCAAGGCAUCUGUGAAGGUGCUGCAUGGUUGUCGUCAGCUCGUGCCGUGAGGUGUCGGCUUAAGUGCCAUAACGAGCGCAACCCUUAUCGUUAGUUACUAACAGGUCAUGCUGAGGACUCUAGAGAGACUGCCGUCGUAAGAUGUGAGGAAGGUGGGGAUGACGUCAAAUCAGCACGGCCCUUACGUCCGGGGCUACACA